GUUGGGGAUUUAAUGGUGAAGAUGAAAAAUGAACACCAGUUCUUCUCCAAUCACUGAAGUUAAGCAAUGUUGGGCCCAGUUAGUACUUGUAUAGGUGACCAGCUGGGAACAGCGGGUAUAGCUGGCU
rnacentral:rRNA from 1 species